AUUAUAGUCACUUGUAUACCUUCAAGCUGUUCAAAAUGUAAAAUUUUUAGUAUUUUCAUACAAUUAAUUUUAUAUUUUUGAGCAAAUUUUCAACUUUGAUAUAAUUUUUCAUGCAUUCAAUCCGAAAAAUCCAAGAAUUUGUCGUAAAAAAUUAUAAAAAUCCUGAAAUUUAUCAAAAAAUAUCAAAUGAAAUAGAUGCAGACUUGAAGAAAAUUAUUUCCAGUAGAAGACGAGAGCAAAUAACUUCCAUUCAGAGUUUAAUUGAUACUCUAAUCCGAAUCAACCGUAUCGAUAUUCUUCGAAAAAUACUAAAUCUCUUCGAAGAAGUCGAACAGAGUGACAUGAUGAAACGACUUUUAGCUGACUUGGAUGAAGAAUCAAAUUCAAGAGAUAUUGAUGGAGAGAAUUUUUACAAAAAACAAAGGACAAAAUCUCCUCCAAAUUUCCUAAAAAUUAUCGAAUUUGAUCCUAAAAUCAGUUUCAGCACUGAAGACUUCCACCAUCUGUCAGACAAACAAAAAAUUGCCCGAUUAAAUUUAGACGCAAAUCUUCAACGAAUGACACAACAUUUGUGAGAACGAUUCCUUGACUACCGGAUAAAAGUCAAAAACACACGACUGGAGAUGAUUCAGAAUUAUUGUUUGAAAUGUCAUGAAAUUCAUGGUCAUUUCGGUUGAAAAAUGUUUCGAACGAGUAAUUUCUCUCUCUCAUUUAAUCAGUUCAGAUGUCAAGUUCAAUCGAUUUGUUGAUACAAUACGUUAAUUAAAAUUAAUUGAUUCUUUUGGC